rnacentral:rRNA from 1 species
AGCGAACGCUGGCGGCAGGCCUAACACAUGCAAGUCGAGCGGGCGUAGCAAUACUUCAGCGGCAGACGGGUGAGUAACGCUUGGGAACGUACCUUUUGGUUCGGGACAACACAGGGAAACUUGUGCUAAUACCGGCUAAGCCCUUACGGGUAAAGAGUUAUCGCCGAAAGAUUGGCCCGCGUCUGAUUAGCUAGUUGGUGAGGUGACGGCUCACCAAGGCGACGAUCAGUAGCUGGUCUGAGAGGAUGAUCAGCCACAUUGGGACUGAGACACGGCACAAACUCCUACGGGAGGCAGCAGUGGGGAAUAUUGGACAAUGGGGGCAACCCUGAUCCAGCCAUGCCGCGUGGGUGAUGAAGGCCCGAGGGUUGUAAAGCUAUUUUGUGCGGGAAGAUAAUGACGGUACCGAAAGAAUAAGCCCCGGCUAACUUCGUG